AGUGAACGCUGGCGGUAGGCCUAACACAUGCAAGUCGAACGGCAGCACAGUAAGAGCUUGCUCUUACGGGUGGCGAGUGGCGGACGGGUGAGGAAUACAUCGGAAUCUACUUUUUCGUGGGGGAUAACGUAGGGAAACUUACGCUAAUACCGCAUACGACCUACGGGUGAAAGCAGGGGAUCUUCGGACCUUGCGCGAUUGAAUGAGCCGAUGUCGGAUUAGCUAGUUGGCGGGGUAAAGGCCCACCAAGGCGACGAUCCGUAGCUGGUCUGAGAGGAUGAUCAGCCACACUGGAACUGAGACACGGUCCAGACUCCUACGGGAGGCAGCAGCGGGGAAUAUUGGACAAUGGGCGCAAGCCUGAUCCAGCCAUACCGCGUGGGUGAAGAAGGCCUUCGGGUUGUAAAGCCCUUUUGGUGGGAAAGAAAAGCAGCAGGUUAAUACCCCGCUGUUCUGACGGUACCCAAAGAAUAAGCACCGGCUAACUUCGUG
rnacentral:rRNA from 1 species